rnacentral:rRNA from 1 species
AUUGAACGCUGGCGGCAGGCCUAACGCAUGCAAGUCGAGCGGAUGAGAGGAGCUUGCUCCUCGAUUCAGCGGCGGACGGGUGAGUAAUGCCUAGGAAUCUGCCUAGUAGUGGGGGACAACGUUUCGAAAGGAACGCUAAUACCGCAUACGUCCUACGGGAGAAAGUGGGGGAUCUUCGGACCUCACGCUAUUAGAUGAGACUAGGUCGGAUUAGCUAGUUGGUAGGGUAACGGCCUACCAAGGCGACGAUCCGUAACUGGUGUGAGAGGAUGAUCAGUAACACUGGAACUGAGACACGGUCCAGACUCCUACGGGAGGCAGCAGUGGGGAAUAUUGGACAAUGGGCGAAAGCCUGAUCCAGCCAUGCCGCGUGUGUGAAGAAGGCCCUCGGGUCGUAAAGCACUUUAAGUUGGGAGGAAGGGCUUACAGCGAAUACCUGUGAGUUUUGACGUUACCGACAGAAUAAGCACCGGCUAACUUCGUGCCAGCAGCCGCCGUAA